rnacentral:lncRNA from 12 species
CUGGAAGGAGACAAAAAUGUACAUAAAGACUAUAGAUGUAAUGAAUAUUAAGUUAAUGGUAUCAAUAUGAAAAUGAGUUCAUGUGAUAGAUUUUAUAUCUGUAAAACUUACACAGUUUAAAACUGUUAUGCAAAUUCACUGUAUUGCACAUUAUCAUUUUAUCAAUGAGAUAAAUCUGUACAAGGAACUAAAUCUACUCAUGAAAUGUAUACUUGUUGUUUCUAUUUCUCAGGUAUCCUACAUUAGUCAGGACUGUGAAGAAAUUCCAGAAUUCCUGGGAAGAAAAUAUGGACAUAUGGCAAAAAGGCUAGAUCUUAGCUUCAACUUGUUAAGGUAAGCUCACAGUCUGCUUGUGAAGAGUAAUACAAAAAGUAGUGUGCUGGUGCCUUGUUUUCCUAGAAGAAACAACCAUUGAUUUUAACUCACUUAACACUCAUAAAAGUUCUUCUGAGCCUUUCUCAACCCUGAAAGACUGAAUCCUACAUGUAAGAGGUAGCAGAGCAAAGGAGACAUUAAAUCUGUGGAUUGUUGUUAUCUUAUACUAUGACUCUGUACCGUUGGAUAUUGUAAUCAGAAAAGAGAAUUUUCUGGGGGAGGGGAUCAAAUGGUAAUUUUUUUUUUUUAUUUUGUCAUGAUGAUAAUUGAAGGUCUGUAUGUGUGUUUAGAUUUACAUGUUAUUGACAAGACUGCUCCUUCUUUACAUUUCUGGGAAAAAAAUUGUCUGUCUCAGUUAAUGCAUGAUUUGAAGAACAGUUCUCUGAAUUUGUUUCAUUUCAUUAAGUAAAAUAAUAACAAUAAAUUUGGAUGUAAAGUACCUCUUUAAAACUCUGAUCAUAUUUUCAUGGAGAUCAAAAUUGGUGAUGUAUUUCUGAAAUUUGUGUUUUCUUUUCUUCUUUUCUUCUCUACCCAAAACACUUAGCCUGUUUUUUCAGAAGGGAUAUAAUUUGCUUUUAUUGAGGUUUGGGGAAGAACAAUCAGCUUGUGAUGUAGGAGAAGUUGUAGUUGUAAAUCUGUAAAAUAAUUUUAAGACCAGAAAUCAGAUUUGGGAAAGGGGAGAAGUGGAUUUUUUUUUUUUUUUAAUUUUCCUUUGGGAAGUUAAUACUAAAUUGGAUGAGAGCAGUAAGGGUUUCUCAUUUGAGUAGUGCUUAGAUUUACUAAGCAUAUGGAAACUAAGGGUGAAGUAUUUAUGGUACAGUAGCUGUUCACACUGGUCUGCACUCAUAUAUAAACCCUGUACCUGCAUAUUUUUGAGAAAGUCAGGUAAGAUACAGCAUGAAUGUCAUAACCUUAAAUGACUGUGAAUAUAGAAGAAUGUCUUGGGCAGCUGUUGAAGGAAGUGUAAGCAGUGUCAUCUUUUUUUAAACAGGUAUUAUUGCUCAAAAAUCUAACAAUGUUGGAGUAUAGUGAUGCGUUUUAUGAUUUUUAUCAGUAACUGCUUAAUUUGAAAAGUUUAGUAUGUUGUUUUCAGUAAAGAAACAAUGUCUACAAUUAAUGUUGAUUUAGAAAGAAGUUUGAUUUUCUAGUUUAAUUUGCUAUCUCUUGGUAAAGGUGUGAGUUAAAUGAAGACGACCAAGGGUGAUCAAAAUACAGUAAAAGAUAAAGAGAAUACUGUGUUUUGCUAGCACAGUAGUUAUUUGCAGUAAAGAUGUUAGCUUUUAUUAUUAUUUGAUUUA